rnacentral:lncRNA from 1 species
UGUGCAGUAACUUAGAAACAACAGAGGAGUUGUCACGACUUUUAAGAAAAAUGACGGUGGGAAUUGAUGGUAUUUACCAUGGUUCAGCUUGUGAGUGGUAGAGCCACAAUCUGUGCCCAGGGACAACGCAGCAGCCAGAAUGAUGCUUUGGAAAUGGAAGUCUGAUUAUAUCUUGCCUCUCUUCUGCUCAAACCUAAUGGCUCCCCAUUUUACUCUGAGUAAAAAGGCAGCAUCCUUAUCUUUGCUUCAUAGGUGUUGCAUCUCCCGUGGGCUGUACCUGCCUUCCCUUCCACCUGCCCUUGCCCUAAAUGACUCCACUCCAGCCUUGCCAGCCUCCCAGCACUUUCUGGAAUACACUAGGGUUUCUUCCAUAGCACAGUCUUGAAAUUUAACUUUCCCUUUGCAAGGCCAAUAAAUUCCCUCCGCAAAAUCAAGUCUUAGCUAAAUGUCAUCUUUUCAAUUAGGUUUUUCUCUACCCUGUUAUUUAAAAAUCACCCAAAUGCUAUCAACACCCCUUCUCCCUGCCUUACUUCCUAUUUUUAUAGCACUUGUCACUUUCUAAUAUCCCUUAGAAUUUAGUUGCUUAUGCUGUAUCAUUUUCCUUCCAUCAGAAUAUUCACAAGAGAGAUCUUUGUUUUUUUAACUAGCACAUUCACAUAAAUGUAUUUGAUAAACAGCAGCCCUGUUUGUUCCCACAGCCACACAAAGUGUUUGAUGAAAACUGGCCUAUUUGCUUUCCUGAAAUAAUUGGAUUACUGAGAAAAUGGAAUGUAAUUAAUGUAUGCACAUAUCUUAGAACGUAUGUCCAGCACAUGGUUACUGCACAAUAAAAGUUAACUGUCAUCUCUGUAUUAUUAUAAAACGGGUCUUCUCUCUUCUAAAUAGAGAAACUAAAUUUAGUCCAGAGUCAGAUGGGAAACGCAUGCCAGCCCAGCCCCUCUCUAUCAUUGCACUGCCUCUGCCUGUCUUCCCUGCAUCCAACCAAACAGCAUCCUCCAGUUGCAGAAGGAAAUCCGCAAAACGUGCAUGUUCACGGGUGCAAGUGUUGCCACUUCCGUGCAGCAUUUGCAGAGCAAGGCUGCCUAUGCCUACCCCAGCUGGAGCAAGCUUCCAAGGAGAAUAUUAUUCCAGCUUUAUUAUUUGUAGUAUUAUAUAAAACCCAUUUUACUGCAGCUAUUAAAACAAUCUGUGUAAACAUAAUUUUUACAGCUGAAUGAUACUCUAGCAUAUGGCUACACCAUCAUUUACUUAUUUCUUUGUUGUUGAACAUUUAGGAUGUUCCUCGUUUUUUGUUAUUAUGAGCAGGGUGAUGAUA